GGAAGAGGCAGGAGUGAUCGAAUUUUAAGUGUCGCGCCGUGAUGUGUGUUUAAAGUUGAGUCAGCUAAGGAAAAGUGCCAAGUUCCGUAUAGCUACUAGUUUCGUGCGUGCGUUUUAGUAUUGUGCAGGUUUGUGGCAUACUGCGAAACCCCACACAUCGCACCCCAAAGCCAACGAUCGCUUCUGACCCCACUGUCAGCUACGAGGGUUUCCCGGAAGUACGUCGACCGGAAGAGGGCUUGCGUACGUUUCAUCGCGCCCUAGGCAGAGGUUGCAGUCAUCCGAGUUCAUCGUCAAAUUGCGCACUGUCGGUAGUUCAUCGACGCCGUCGCGUGAAGCCCACAGACCGGAGGGAAUAUCAUCUGCGUCAACGUCAGCGACGCGAGCUUCGAUCAACGGUGCUCAUCGAAUGAACGACCGUUUGAUUUUCGAAUUCCCUCCACCAAAAGCGUACGCAAAGCAAACCGUAAGUAAUCAUGCAUGAUUAAGUAAGUCCAUGCGCAUGGCUCAGUUCCCGCCGCUACCGAAGAACUAGCAGUAAGUAGCGUGCCAAUCGAAACUUUCACGUGGCUGUCCUUAGUCCCCGCGCUUGCGCUGACAGCCACGCUUCUGAGCACACACACCUAAACCGACACGGAAUGAACACACUGCACGCAUAGAACUCAACACACGCUCCGAAUGAAGACAGAGGUUAGAUAGAGAAAGAGAGAGUAAGGGAAAGCAAACAGUAGGCCUAGGCAGAGAGGAGAAUGGAAACAUGAAGAGAAAUAUAUGUAUGUGAAAAUGAAUCUGUUCUGAACAUUUGUAGUGAUAUGUUGUUUUGUUAAUGCUGGUAGCAUAAAUGCAGGCGAACCGUCGUUCGUAAAAGUCUAUCCCGAAUGCAAUGCGAGAAUAAAGUUGGUUAAAGUUUAGCAUGUUAAUCGGUCGUUAAUUUAUUUUUAUUAUUUAUUAUAUUUUGCUGGGGCGGUUCCCCGAAACAACCACGAUAACUCCCUAUUCUUUUAUAGCAGGAUUCGCAGG